rnacentral:rRNA from 1 species
AUGCCAGUGAUGCCUCGCUUCUACUCCACUACGCCCAUGCCCCGCCUCCUCCGCCGCCUCUCCUCCACCUCCACCUCCACCUCGGGGCCCUCACGCUGCUGGGAUCCCAGCGCCGCCCUCGCCGCGGCCACAGAGCGGGUCCGCGCCGGGACGCUCAGCCCGGCAGACGCACGCCACCUGUUCGACGAAUUGCUGCAGCGGCCAACCCCGGUCCCUGGUCAAGCCCUGAACGGCUUCCUCGCCGCCCUUGCCCGCGCUCCGGCCUCCGCCGCCUGCGGAGACAGCCCCGCCCUCGCCGUGUCUCUCUUCAACCGCCUGUGCCGAGAAGCCAGCCCGCAUGCGUCGCCUCUUACAGUCCACACCUACAGCAUCCUCAUGGACUGCUGCUGCCGCGCGCGUCGCCCUGACCUGGGGCUUGCCUUCUUCGGCCGCCUCCUCAGGACGGGCCUGAGGACAGACGGCGUCGACGCAUACGCCCUCAUCAAGUGCUUCUGCCUCGCAAAACGGACAGACGAGGCUGUCAGCGUGCUGCUCCAUAGGUUGUCUGAACUCGGCUGUGUGCCUGAUGCCUUAUCAUACUCCGUCGUUCUGAAGGUCUUAUGCGAUGAUAGCAGGAGCCAGCGAGCGCUCGACCUGCUCCGGAUGAUGUCGAAAGAAGGAGGUGUCUGCGCCCCCAACGUGGUGCCAUAUAGCACGGUCAUCCACGGCUUCUGCAAGGAAGGCAAAGUAAGCAAGGCAUGCGAUCUGUUCAACAAAAUGGGGCAGCAAGGAGUUAAGCCUAAUGUGGUGACAUAUACCUCGAUAAUUGAUGCGCUGUGCAAGGCCAGAGCAAUGGACAAGGCAGAGUCAUUCCUUCGGCAUAUGGUCGAUAAUGAUGUUCGACCCAACAACGUGACAUAUAAGUGUAUCAUCCAGGGAUAUUCCUCUUUGGGCUUGUGGAAUGAGGCAGUAAAAAUAUUCAGAGAAAUGACAAGCCGGGGUCUUAUGCUAGAUGAUGUUACUCGCAACUCAUUCGUGGCCUCCCUUUGCAACCAUGGAAGAAGCAAGGAAGCUGCGGAGAUUGCCCAUCAGAUGAUUGAAAGUGAAACUACAGUGAGCAAC